CUUGCCACUGGUUCCUUGCAGCUGUGACUCCCCAGGGUAAGAGGCAAAGAGCCACCAGGUCCCAGCUGAGGAAGCCCUGUGGUCAGCUCAGACAGACAGCAGGAAUAUUUCCCAACACUUAGAAAGCAAACAACAGGCCAGGUGCAGUGGCUCACACCUGUAAUCUCAGCAUUUUGGGAGGCCGAAGUGGGCGGAUCACAUGAGGCCAGGAGCUCAAGACCAGCCUGGCCAACAUGGCGAAACCCCGUCUCUACUAAAAAUACAAAAAUUAUCCAGGUGUAGUGGUGCACGUCUGUAAUCCCAGCUACUCGGGAGGCUGAGGCACAAGAAUCAUUUGAACCUGGGAAGUGGAAGUUGCAGUGAGCCAAGAUCACGCCACUGCACUCCAGCCUGGGCAACAGAAGGAGACUCAAAAAAGAAAGGAGGAAGGGAGGGAGGGAGGAAGGGAGGAAGGGGAAGGAAGGAAAAGAAGGGAAGGAAGGGAAAGAAAGAAGGAAAGAAAAAGAAGGAGGGAAGGAAGGAAGGAAGGAGGGAGAGAGGGAGGGAGGGAAGGAAGGAAGGGAGGAAGGAAAAAAAAGAGAAAAGAG
rnacentral:lncRNA from 1 species